AGCAGCCGCGGUAAUUCCAGCUCCAAUAGCGUAUAUUAAAGUUGUUGCAGUUAAAAAGCUCGUAGUUGAAUUUCGGGAUUGACGUGAUGGUCGUGCCUUAAGGGGUAUGAACUGUUGCUGUUGAUUUCUCACCUUCUGGAGAAACUUGAUGUCCUUAAUUGGGUGUCUUGCGGAUCCAGGACCUUUACCUUGAAAAAAUUAGAGUGUUUAAAGCAGGCAUUUUGCUCGAAUACAUUAGCAUGGAAUAAUAGAAUAGGACGGCAUGGUUCUAUUUUGUUGGUUUCUAGGAUCACCGUAAUGAUUAAUAGGGAUAGUUGGGGGCAUUAGUAUUCAAUUGUCAGAGGUGAAAUUCUUGGAUUUAUUGAAGACUAACUACUGCGAAAGCAUUUGCCAAGGAUGUUUUCAUUAAUCAAGAACGAAAGUUAGGGGAUCGAAGACGAUCAGAUACCGUCGUAGUCUUAACCAUAAACUAUGCCGACUAGGAAUCAGACGAUGUUAAUUUUUAAUGUACUCGU
rnacentral:rRNA from 1 species